UGCUCUCUCUCUCUCUCCUGCCCCCUCCCCACAUGACUCGUCCUUGUGGCCUCACCCUGCUCUCGCCGCACCUCUGCUGCCACACCUUGUUGCCAUGCUGAUCAUCAUUCCUGCUUCCCUCCCGAGGAGGGGGCAUCCCUUUGCUCCUCGCCACAUCUGCUCAUCGCCGCCACUCAUGUGCUCACAGCCUUGGCUCCUCCCCCAAGCCACCCACCAGUGCUCAUGGCCAUCCCUCAUCAUCAUCUUCCUGGCUCAUCAGGAUUCAUCAUCUUCUCCAUGUGCCCAUAGCCGUCAUCACCACCUUCUUCCUGCCUGGAUCUGUCCAAGGUCAUCUCCUCACAUCUCCAGCAGUUGUACUCCUCCAGUCAUCCGCUGUCACUUCCUCACCGACAUUUAGGAACGUUGUCUUGCUCCCUGGUGAACCUAUGGGCCACACAAACAUCAUCACUCACGCUAUUCAUCUGAUGUCUGGGUACAUCUUACACUCUCAGCUACAAGGUGCCACACAGUCGUCGUGUUCUGCUUGAUGAAGCUGUGCGAGCAACCAUUUCAGAGAUCCCCAGAACCUAGUCAGGAAUGCUGGUAUACUUACAGCAGCAACACCUCCAGCAAAUCCAUAGGACUUUGAUGGCUCUCAGCUGACCAGAGGACCAAUAUAUGCCAAGAUAUGCUGACAAGACAAGGACAUGAAAGCCCUGGCACAAGUAUCUAAACAAGGGCAACUGCAGAAUGAAGCUGCUGUCACAAUCAUCAUCCCCAGCACAAACUUUGCUGCCAAUUUGCCUCUGCUACAGAUUCCAGCAAAGUUGGGAGCUGCUAAUUGUCAGUUUAUUGUGGAUAUAGAAGCCUCAGCUUCCAGUGUACCCAGGAAUGAGAGAGUAGGAGCAAUGAGAGUGUAUAUGAGAAGUGUAGUAAGAGUGCCUGUGCAAUUGCUGUAAACUGUGGAAUGGUAAAAUUAGUGAAAGGGGACACAGUGAGAUGGUAUGACCAUUUUUAGAGAAUGAAGAGUGAAGAAAUUGUAAAGAAAGUGCUAAUUGUUGAGGUAGGUCAUUUGGAAGAUGGAAGGAUAGGGUAAAAGAGCACAAGUAAGAAAGAUGUGUUACUAGAGGCCAAGUGCUUGAACAAACAAAAGGAAAAUGAUUAGAUAGGAAGAGGUGGAGGCUCUUCUGUCAUGACUACUGACUUGGGGGAUGCUCCAGGAGGCAGUAAGGCAUCAGGGAUAUAGAACAACCAACCAGAAGUACUUGAAUUAGUAAACUAGCUUUCUUUUUAACUCCAGUCCACAUUAUUAAUUAUUGAAAAGUUUAUAUAUACAUUGCCUUUAUUACUAUUAUUACUACAAGUACUAUAUUCAAUUCCAAAUCUUGAGAAAUAUAAGCCCCUCCCAGGUGGGGAUAUUCAUUCUGAAUGAGCUUAACUGGAGGUAUAGAUUUUUGGGAUGGGGUGUGAGUCCUCUGGUAAAGCUCUGACUUCACUUGUCUCCACCCCUAGUACACUACCUGGCCUCAGGAAUAGAAACAGUCAGAUUUAUUCACUUAAGAAUUGCUCUCUCUCUCUCUCUCUCUCUCUCUCUUUAUAUAUAUAGUGUGUGUGUGUGUGUGUGUGUGUGUGUCUAUGUAUAUAUAUAUGUAAGAAGUUGAAGUGGGCGCGCCUGCGAGAGGCUCACAGACUAGUCAGCGAGUCCCGCCAAAACGAGUCUUAAGGCCCUGGAGGUUUGUUGUUGUGGGAAUUUUGGCGGGAGAGGCGAGCGAGAGAGAGACAGGGUGCAGAGUAGUGGUGGAUUUGCCAUUUGAUUUGCAGGUAUGUUAUUGGGAUUUGUUGUAUUCUUUCAUGGUGAAACAGUGUACAUUGGGGGACAUUAUUGGGAGAUAGGGUGGUGAUUUGUACGCUUGGUUGGCAGGAGUUUGGUCUUGGCAGUGUGCUGUGGGACGUCAGUGAGGUGGCACCGUAGCAGAUACUGUGAACUAGGAGGCUGCAGUGAGGAACUUGCUGUCCCUGGCUGCUAUGGUGUUAGUACCGCCGUGCAUGGAGGAAGAGCUGCAGUACUUCAGGGUAGUGGUAGUGGCGUACCUUCAGCGCGUUGGGUCGGUGUGCGGUUGGGCCUAUAGGGUGUGAGGGUCCUGGGGGUACUGGUUAGGGUGGGACUGUCAGUGGCAUAUAACAUUUCUUGUGUUGGUGCGUGAAGUGUUUAUUUCUCCUGUUUAUUUGUAUGUGGAUUUACCCAUUUUCUCAUGGGAUCAGGUAUUUUGGAGUGCCAGCAGUGUGGCCUCUAAGAGUGUUAAGCACUCAUAUUUUAUUUGUGUUUUCUUUAUUAUGUACUCAUUUGUGUUUUCUUUAUUAUGUAUUCAAUCAUUAAAUUUUUAAAUUGUG